AGGAUGAACGCUGGCGGCGUGCUUAACACAUGCAAGUCGAACGAUGAAGGCUGGAGCUUGCUCUGGCUGGAUUAGUGGCGAACGGGUGAGUAACACGUGAGUAACCUGCCCCAGACUCCGGGAUAAGCGCUGGAAACGGCGUCUAAUACCGGAUACGAGCUUCCACCGCAUGGUGAGGAGCUGGAAAGAAUUUCGGCCUGGGAUGGACUCGCGGCCUAUCAGCUUGUUGGUGAGGUAAUGGCUCACCAAGGCGACGACGGGUAGCCGGCCUGAGAGGGUGACCGGCCACACUGGGACUGAGACACGGCCCAGACUCCUACGGGAGGCAGCAGUGGGGAAUAUUGCACAAUGGGCGCAAGCCUGAUGCAGCAACGCCGCGUGA
rnacentral:rRNA from 1 species